AGUGAACGCUGGCGGUAGGCCUAACACAUGCAAGUCGAACGGCAGCACAGUAAGAGCUUGCUCUUACGGGUGGCGAGUGGCGGACGGGUGAGGAAUACAUCGGAAUCUACUUUUUCGUGGGGGAUAACGUAGGGAAACUUACGCUAAUACCGCAUACGACCUACGGGUGAAAGCAUGGGAUCUUCGGAUCUUGCGCGAUUGAAUGAGCCGAUGUCGGAUUAGCUAGUUGGCGGGGUAAAGGCCCACCAAGGCGACGAUCCGUAGCUGGUCUGAGAGGAUGAUCAGCCACACUGGAACUGAGACACGGACCAGACUCCUACGGGAGGCAGCAGUGGGGAAUAUUGGACAAUGGGCGAAAGCCUGAUCCAGCCAUACCGCGUGGGUGAAGAAGGCCUUCGGGUUGUAAAGCACUUUUGUUGGGAAAGAAAAGCAGCAGGUUAAUACCCCGCUGUUCUGACGGUACCCAAAGAAUAAGCACCGGCUAACUUCGUG
rnacentral:rRNA from 1 species